GCCAGGUCAAGCCAGCUGGAGGAAGGAAUACAACCCCAGCAAGAGGCCACUGGUGCACAGCUGGGCCUUCUUUCCUGAUAGGGGGCAAGGCACCAGGAGGAGGCAGAGUGAGCAAGGCCCCCAAGCCUCCCAUGCAGGACUCCCCCGUGCUCCAGCAUGGAAGGGUGAGGGCUUCACCUGGGCCCUGGGGGCACAGUGACUGGGCUACAUCCCAGAGGUGCGGGACCAGCACAGACACUCCCUCCCAGGACUCCAAGGCAGUUUUUGUUUGUUUGGGAUUUUGACGAUAAAGCACUACUGGAGACCAGAAGGGCCUAGAGGCCGAGAGGAAGGUGCCGGAGCCCAGCUGCACUGAGGUGGGUGCAGGCGGCGCUGGGCAACGGCGAAGGACCCCCCUCCAUCCCCGCCUGCGUUUGCUUCUGCACCCCGUGGACACCGAUUAUCCUAACCUGUCAUGUGUAAUUCUGGCCCCGAAGCCGCCUGGAAACAUUGGCUUUAUGGUAAAUCUUCUUAAUAAACAAG
rnacentral:lncRNA from 1 species